rnacentral:sRNA from 1 species
GGCGGCGGAAGUGCUCAGCCGCGCGGCAUUCUGGGGCCGGAAGUGGGGCGCACGCUGCGGGCUGGUGUUAUGGCAGCUGCGCGGAACCGCAAGAGGCGCCUGGCGGAGCUGACGGUGGACGAGUUCCUAGCUUCGGGCUUUGACUCCGAGUCCGAAUCCGAGUCCGAAAACUCCCCAGAAGCGGAGACGCGGGAGGCACGCGAGGCUGCCCGGAAUCCGGAUGAACCGGGCGGGAGCCCCUCGGCCAGCCGGCGUAAAGGCCGUGCCUCUGAGCACAAAGACCAGCUCUCUCGGCUGAAGGACAGAGACCCCGAGUUCUACAAGUUCCUGCAGAAGAAUGACCAGAGCCUGCUAAACUUCAGCGACUCGGACAGCUCCGAGGAGGAAGAGGAGCCGUUCCACUCCCUUCCAGAUGUGCUGGAGGUGAGGGCGUGGGCCAAACCAGGAGGGGGGCACUUGUGGCCUCUACACUCUCCUUCAGCUCAGCUUUUCCGUGCAGGAAGCCAGUGAGGAGGAUGGAGCGGAGGAGGGGGAAGAUGGGGACAGAGUCCCCAGAGGGCUGAAGGGGAAGAAGAAUUGUGUUCCUGUGACCCUCGCCAUGGUUGAGAGAUGGAAGCAGGCAGCAAAGCAACGCCUCACUCCAAAGCUGUUCCAUGAAGUGGUACAGGCGUUCCGAGCAGCUGUGGCCACCACCCAAGGGGACCAGGAAAGUGCUGAGGCCAACAAAUUCCAGGUCACGGACAGUGCUGGUGAGCUUGGGGGGAGCCUGGCAUCCAGGCUGUUUGUUGCGUUCUGUCCCGUGAGUACAUCCAGGCCUUUUCGUUGCAGUGUUCAAUGCUCUGGUUACCUUCUGCAUCAGAGACCUCAUUGGCUGUCUCCAGAAGCUGCUAUUUGGAAAGGCGGCAAAGGACAGCAGCAGAAAACGUGGGCCAAAGGAAACCAGUCUGCAGCAGUUGGUGGUGCCUCGCCGACCCCAGAGGUGCCGAGUACCAGCUGCUGGGCUUGGGGACCUUGUGU